rnacentral:rRNA from 1 species
CCUACGGGAGGCAGCAGUAAGGAAUAUUGGACAAUGGACGAAAGUCUGAUCCAGCCAUGCCGCGUGCAGGAUGACAGCCCUACGGGUUGUAAACUGCUUUUAUACAGGAAGAAACACUCCGACGUGUCGGAGCUUGACGGUACUGUAAGAAUAAGGAUCGGCUAACUCCGUGCCAGCAGCCGCGGUAAUU